rnacentral:rRNA from 1 species
ACCGUCCCACGUUCAGAUCGCAGUCUGCAACCCGACUGCGUGAAGUCGGAAUCGCUAGUAAUCGCGGAUCAGCAUGCCGCGGUGAAUACGUUCCCGGGCCUUGUACACACCGCCCGUCAAGCCAUGGGAGCCGGGGGCGCCUGAAGUCCGGGACCGCGAGGACCGGCCUAGGGCGAAACUGGUGACUGGGGCUAAGUCGUAACAAGGUAGC